rnacentral:rRNA from 1 species
GUAGGGAAUUGUUCGCAAUGGGCGCAAGCCUGACGACGCAACGCCGCGUGGAGGAUGAAGGGCUUCGGCUCGUAAACUCCUUUCGACCGAGAUGAAUAUCCAUGGGGCUAAUAUCCCUGUGGACUGACAGUAUCGAGGGAAGAAGCCCCGGCUAACUCCGUGCCAGCAGCCGCGGUAAUACGGGGGGGGCAAGCGUUGUUCGGAAUUACUGGGCGUAAAGGGUUCGUAGGUGGCCAACUAAGUCAGACGUGAAAUCCCUCAGCUUAACUGGGGAACUGCGUCUGAUACUGGUUGGCUUGAGUGCAGGAGAGGAACGCGGAAUUCCAGGUGUAGCGGUGAAAUGCGUAGAUAUCUGGAGGAACACCGGUGGCGAAGGCGGCGUUCUGGACUGCAACUGACACUGAGGAACGAAAGCCAGGGGAGCAAACGGGAUUAGAUACCCCAGUAGUCC